GAGGGAAUUGCUUGUAACAGCUUGUGACUGCUGUAACAGCUUUUGGAGGGAAUUUCUAGAGGUGGCUCAGAUCUGUUAGGAAGCAGUUAUUGCUGAGAAUAUAUAGGGUGAACUGAUAGCUGUACGGAUUCAUUCCAGAAUCUAAUCAAUAUUCAAUAAUAUUCUCUCUCUUCUCUAAAUCUCUAUUCUCUUCUCACCUCAUUCUUUUCUCUUCUCAUCCAGUCUCAUUCUUGUUCUGUUCUAGCUGAUACUUUACAGUAGCUAAUCCUCAUGUCAACAAAUAUAUCGCACAUUUAAGACAACGAUUUUGUUGAUGAAAUUAUGUAUGAGUUGCAACAUUUUAGAUAUUUGGAAUCUUAGGCUUUCUCAUAAGAGAGAGAAUAUAAUCUUUCAACAAUCACUCCUUUUUUCUCCCAUUUUGGUACUCCAACACCAAAUCAAAAAGGCAGUUUGCAAAAAUGCGUUUUCGGAAUGCUAAUGAAGUUAAAAUACCCAUAAAGAUUUUGGAUUUGAUGCAUUGCAUUCUUUAUGACCUUGAAGAUAAGGAGAAUGAUCGUAGAUGAGAAAAUUAAGGGCCUAAGUGCUGAGAUCACAAGUCAAAAUUACAGUUUGCUUGGUAAAUUUUUGUCAGUUCAUAGAUGCAUCAUAGGUCAAAGAAUGAGUCACUCUAUUAUGAAAUUUUAGGAUGGAGGGCUAAUGAAUGGGUCUGAGAUUGCUUGUGUGGAUUAAUAAGAUCAUGCUCUCCCAAUCCUACAUGAACAGUUGUAUUUUAUUUGGAAUUUGACUAGUGAGUGUCAGAAUGUAACUGGGUUUAGAAAAAAAAAAGGGUU
rnacentral:misc_RNA from 1 species